rnacentral:rRNA from 1 species
GACGAACGCUGGCGGCGUGCUUAACACAUGCAAGUGGAGCGACGAACCGGGGCUUGCCCCGGGGCAGAGCCGCGAACGGGUGAGUAACACGUGGGUAACCUGCCCUGUUGAUUGGGACAACCCCGGGAAACCGGGGCUAAUACCAAAAUGUGCUCUUGGAACAUCAGUUCUUCGAGGAAAGGAGGCUUCGGCUUCCGCAACGGGAUGGGCCCGCGGCCCAUUAGCUUGUUGGUGAGGUAACGGCUCACCAAGGCUUCGAUGGGUAGCUGGUCUGAGAGGACGAUCAGCCACACUGGGACUGAGACACGGCCCAGACUCCUACGGGAGGCAGCAGUGGGGAAUCUUGCGCAAUGCGCGAAAGCGUGACGCAGCAACGCCGCGUGAGGGAAGACGGCCUUCGGGUUGUAAACCUCUUUCAGUUGGGACGAAGCCUCUGCGGCUAAUACCCGUACGAGGUGACGGUACCUUCACAAGAAGCCCCGGCUAACUACGUG